rnacentral:rRNA from 1 species
CCUACGGGGGGCAGCAGUGGGGGAUAUUGCACAAUGGGGGGAACCCUGAUGCAGCGACGCCGCGUGGGUGAAGAAGCGCCUCGGCGCGUAAAGCCCUGUCAGCAGGGAAGAAAAUGACGGUACCUGAAGAAGAAGCCCCGGCUAACUACGUGCCAGCAGCCGCGGUAAUACGUAGGUGGCAAGCGUUGUCCGGAUUUACUGGGUGUAAAGGGCGUGUAGCCGGGAAGGCAAGUCAGAUGUGAAAUCUGGAGGCUCAACCUCCAAAUUGCAUUUGAAACUGUUUUUCUUGAGUACUGGAGAGGCAGACGGAAUUCCUUGUGUAGCGGUGAAAUGCGUAGAUAUAAGGAGGAACACCAGUGGCGAAGGCGGUCUGCUGGACAGCAACUGACGGUGAGGCGCGAAAGCGUGGGGAGCAAACAGGAUUAGAUACCCUUGUAGUC